CGUAGCCAGCCUCUGCCGCCAUUGAUUUGAUCUCUUGAGUCGCGAUUCACUUUCUCCCUUUCUCGAAAAACUCCUCGUUUCUCCCUCUACACCCUUCAUCUUUAGGAGGAUUCACUGCUUUGCUGGACAUUCGAAGAACAGCCAGACCUGGUGAUAAUUCUCUCAUGUAUAGCAUCUUGUUUAGAAACACUAAGGAUAAGAACAUGUCACCUUCAUCUAGAGGUUUGCUUUUUUGGAAAGUACAAUAGGAUGAGUGGAGUCGGAAGAAGUGAUAUGAAAAGGUCCACGAUAGAGAAGAAUGUGUACUUCCCUAGAAAUUAAUAUGCAUAAUCAGGGAGAAAAAGAAUUCUCAAGAUCAAAUCAAUGAUUUAGCAAAAUAAAAGAUACCUAGUUUUAGAGCAUUGCCCCCUGGAGUGAAGUUUGGACCUGGAUGGUAGGAGAGAACGAUGCGACACCACCAAAGCCACUAAAAUGACACAACACCAAUGGCAAAAGUGUUUGGUUGGUGACUAAGAAAAGGGGAAAACAAAAUAAUUUGCAAACUAAAAAAGUGGAGAAAGAGACAAAUCAAUGAUAGCUGUGAAAUCUAAUAUCAUCGAGAA